CAGAUAGCAGACCCAGGGGAAGCGAUACACCCAGCAAGAGUCCUCCAGAGCGGUCCACCGGCAGGCACAGGCAAUGUCCCCUGAGUGACAUCUCUAGCCCAAAGGCAGAGGAGCAAAAAAGAGGUAUGUAGAAAAUGAGGAAUCCUCUUUCAGAGCCCUGGUGGUGACAGGAAGUAAACAAGAAAGGCCCCUGAGCUGCCAGGAUGUGUCAUGGAGUUUACACAUGAAGGUUCAUGCCUUUCACUCACAGGAGAGACUUCCAGGCUCACUUACACCUAGAAUCAAAUCUAAUCAUCUGAAUAAUUCCCCAGCCCGUGUUGGAUGGUGCUCUCCAAGACAGCCUGGAUGACGGCCUGCUGAAGAGGUUCCCGUUUUGAUCCAUCUUCUUUACCUAAAAUAUGUGAACCCAUAGAUGGAUUUAUCAAAUGUGCAGACAAUUCCAAACUAUGGGGAAUAUGCUAAUAAAUUGGGCAAAUCUUCAAUUGGUC
rnacentral:lncRNA from 1 species